GUGCUCGUUUCCACAGCACACAUUCUAAAAACUGGAACGACAGAGAAGAUUAGCACGGGCCCUGCACAGGGGUGACAUGAAUUCGUGAAGCGUUCCAGCACUUU